rnacentral:lncRNA from 1 species
CUAAAUUGCGUUUCGGACUUAGAUUGUCAAAGGUGUCCAAUAGAUGACGUACGUGUCGUCGUUUGUUUUCCUAUUUUCCCAUGAAAAUUAACGAUGAAUUCAAAGAAGGAACGCCAAAGGCAACUAGCCUAGACAAGUAGCCUACCAUCAAUUUUUUCAUAAAAUUAUCGUUCAGCUGAAUGCUUCAUGCUGUUAAAACAGUUAAUAUUCAUCAUACUUAUCUGGAGUUUCUGUUGAUGUUAUUGGUAAGUCACUAACCCCAGUGUGGACACUUGUUGUUUUUUUCUGAACAUGUUUUCUACAAAUAAUGAAUUGACAAACAAGUAUUGUUCUUCCUUUAAAAAUUUUUAACUUUUAUUUGAUGCCGUAAACUUUAUUUUCAGUCAUAGAGAAAGCUAUGGAAACAUAAUCAAGGCCAUGGGCAAUCUUCAGUUUUAUUGCAGCAACUUUGGGGAAGUCGCAUGAAAAGUUGCAGGGCACAUACCAACAUGUGUGGAGUGUGGUAUUUAUCUGAAUUUUUUACUCAAGCAAUUCAACUUGACUGUUUGAUGCCAAAGUUAGUUGGAACUCUAACUCAAACACAGAUAACCGUUGCUGCUGUUGCCUUACAGGUUACAGCAACAGGCAGGAAAAUUAUUCUUUUCUUCAGAAAAUACUUCGGAAACAGAGUUCGGAAAGGGAAAGCAAUCCAUCCGUUCCGUACAGCAAACGUGGUAAUCGUGAGGGAAUCUUUUGGUAGGACGGUAGGUGGCUAAAAUGGUUUGUCCCCCAGCCACCAGGUGACGCGAGUGUUUUCGUGAGGAGGACGAAAUAAAUAUUUGUUUGUUUCCGAAACGCUGAAUGAAAGUUGUGAACGCUGAGUGAAAAUCCAUUACGGAAUUGCGGUGUCGAUCUACAUUUUCAGCCAUGAAAUGGCAAUCUGGCAUAUAAUUUCACUUGGCCAAAUAAUGUGACGACGUGGGUCGAAUCCAUUUUGCCGAAAUGUCGGCCAUUGUUACUGUACCUAUACGUCUCAUCUCGUGCUGAAACACUUCAGAGCUAGUAAAGUCAAAGACGGAGAUCCCUUUGCUCAACUGUUGCAGAAAUCGAGAACACACCAAAGUCUGUGCUUCAUGGCUGUUGUAUCAUUAAUGUGGUUUUGUUGCAGCCAGCUGGUGAAAGAUGUGAUCGAGUUAAGUUAAGAUGCAGCUGCUGCAUGCAGUUUAUCAAACUGUUGUUAUCCCUAUUGUCACAACAGGAAGACUUCUUGAAUUGGAGUUCAUGGUCAGUUUCAUGUUUGAGCUGUUUAUGGUGUUGCUGUUUGGUGUACAGUGGUUUUGAAGUCCCUAUCCAGUUGAGAGAUGCUCUGAAGCAGACUUGCAGUUCAACUUCAACAUCACACUUAAAUGUGUCAUUUGCCUAUGUUGGUGUCCAUGCAGUAUAUGCCGUGUUGAAAAGUUGGGUAAAAUAGUCAAUGUUGCCUGAUGGCUGUCGGUCUUGUUUUAUCGACUGCAUUUUUCGAUAUGACGUCUCUUGGUACCGGCGUUGAGUUUCAUCGUUUUCUGCCGUUCCAUAGACUUGAUCCAUUGGUAAAACUGAGGAGAGGUUGCUGAAAUUCAAGACGCGUCAAUAUAAAUUAUGUAGAUGUAGAAAAAAUUACAAGUGCAUAUCUGGGCUCCCUUCUUCAGU